rnacentral:rRNA from 1 species
AACGAACGCUGGCGGCAUGCCUAACACAUGCAAGUCGAACGAGACCUUCGGGUCUAGUGGCGCACGGGGGCGUAACGCGUGGGAACCUGCCCUUAGGUUCGGAAUAACUCCCCGAAAGGGGUGCUAAUACCGGAUAAUGUCUUCGGACCAAAGAUUUAUCGCCUUUGGAUGGGCCCGCGUUGGAUUAGCUAGUUGGUAGGGUAAAAGCCUACCAAGGCGACGAUCCAUAGCUGGUCUGGGAGGAUGAUCAGCCACACUGGGACUGAGACACGGCCCAGACUCCUACGGGAGGCAGCAGUGGGGAAUAUUGGACAAUGGGCGAAAGCCUGAUCCAGCAAUGCCGCGUGAGUGAUGAAGGCCUUAGGGUUGUAAAGCUCUUUUACCCGGGAUGAUAAUGACAGUACCGGGAGAAUAAGCUCCGGCUAACUCCGUG